CUUGACUUCUGGGAUGCUCUGCAAUCAGCAUUGAGGUACUUUUGUUUGUGGAGAUAUUCCUGGUAAUAAGGAGGCUCACCACCAAGCUUUCAAUAAGAAGGUAGGAAGAAAGAAAAUGCUGAUACUUUAAUUUCACAACAAUUGAAUGAAAGGUGACAUUUCACAGGGACAAAAGUUUAGAAGAUACAGGAACCUCCAAAAGGAUGAACAAGAACAAAAACAAGAGCCUCCCUUGCAACCAUCCAACUUGGGAUAAAUAUUCCAUGAGACAAUUUGGACUCAGCUGUGCUGAGGGUCAAAGCAGGACUGGAGGAAAAUAGAACAAUUGGAAUAAUUAAGCGUUUAAGAAGAAAUUUCCUGCAAAAUAAUACCCCCAAAUCUAUAUUUUCCCAUUCUUCCCGGAGUUCAUGCUGACAAUGUUCAUCACAGCUGACUGAGUUGGUUUUCACCAAGGGAGGCCUCACAGCUUCUAGCUGUAUACCAUGUACUGGGAAAGCUUCAAUCUCACAGCAUGCAGUAAUGUUGGAGAAGGACCAUCUGAAGACCAGAACAGUACAAUUAUUCUCAAUUUAAAAACAUAGCAGUGAAUUUUUAAGUGAUCCUGGUGCUAGGUUACUUUAUAAAUCCAUUAUUUAUUAUUUACA